rnacentral:rRNA from 1 species
AGUGGGGAAUAUUGGACAAUGGGCGCAAGCCUGAUCCAGCCAUGCCGCGUGAGUGAAGAAGGCCUUCGGGUUGUAAAGCUCUUUUGUCCGGAAAGAAAAGCCUUCGGUUAAUACCCGGGGGUGAUGACGGUACCGGAAGAAUAAGCACCGGCUAACUUCGUGCCAGCAGCCGCGGUAAUACGAAGGGUGCAAGCGUUACUCGGAAUUACUGGGCGUAAAGCGUGCGUAGGUGGUUCGUUAAGUCUGAUGUGAAAGCCCUGGGCUCAACCUGGGAAUGGCAUUGGAAACUGGCGACCUAGAGUGCGGUAGAGGGUAGUGGAAUUCCCGGUGUAGCAGUGAAAUGCGUAGAGAUCGGGAGGAACAUCUGUGGCGAAGGCGACUGCCUGGACCAGCACUGACACUGAGGCACGAAAGCGUGGGGAGCAAA